rnacentral:tRNA from 1 species
GGGCGACGAUAUUCCCAUCGUCAAGGGCUCGGCCCUGUGCGCCCUGGAAGGCACCGACGAGAAGCUGGGUCGCG